rnacentral:rRNA from 1 species
AACGAACGCUGGCGGCAGGCCUAACACAUGCAAGUCGAGCGCGCCCUUCGGGGUGAGCGGCGGACGGGGGAGUCACGCGUCGGAACGUUCCCUUUUCCAUGGAAUUCCCCCGUGACACGGAGAGUAACACCGUAUACCUUCCGUGGGUGCCAGAUUCAUCGGAAAAGUAGCGGCCCGAGUUGUUUUAGGUUGGUGGUGUGGUAAUGGCCUAUCAAGCCUACGAUACAUAGCUGGGUUGAGAGGAUGAUCAGCCACACUGGGACUGAGACACGGCCCAGACUCCUACGGGAGGCAGCAGUGGGGAAUCUUGGAAAAUGGGGGCAACCCUGAACGAGCCAUGCCGCGUGAGUGAUGAAGGCGUUAGGGUAGUAAAGCUCCUUCAGCUGGGAAGAUAAUGACGGUACCAGCAGAAGAAGCCCCGGCUAACUCCGUG